UCAUGGGUGCCAUUUCUCUGU
rnacentral:piRNA from 1 species